AUGUCGGCGCUGACCUUGUUGGCAAGGUUGAGAGGAACAUCCCUGAAGAUGACCCCAGAAAUCCUGCGGUAACCAGGAGUAAAUAGUAGUUCAUUAAUGAGAAGUCGAUUAUUCCAGAAACAUUCGAUUUCACUGAAGAAACAUUCCAAAGUAUCUAUAUCGUGUUCGUUAAAUGAGAGUACAACAAAAGUGAUUUAUAGUGUAGCGCCUGCAAUGGGUCAUAACAAGAAAGUGUGUAUUGGAGAACGUUGGUGAAGUCUUGCAUGAUAUUGGUAACAGGAGGCACAUCCAGAAUGCAGUUUACGGGUUCCUGCAAUUGUGACUGCUCUCGAGAAGGUGGAGCUCACACCGAAGUUUCGAGGAUCUGAGAUCAUUCAACUUCAAGAUUUUAGAACUGCUACUGUCGAAGAUAUUGCAAGUGUGCAUUCCAGAUCUUAUGUUUUUGGCCUUGAGAAGGUACGGAUGCGUUUUUCAUUGAUGAAGAAAUUUGGCGGUGUUUUCAUGGUAGAAGGAAUAGAAGGUGAAAUCGAAAAUGAAAGCAGCGAUGGUUGGUAAGUUCGUGCGUAAGCACUCAAAUCGAUUGUUAUAUUUAGUUGAAUUUUGCAUCAUGUAUAAUGUGUUUUGCGUCUUGCUUGUGUGUUUUAGUAGACUCUUAUGAUCAAUAUACAUAAACUAAUAAUGGGUUUUCCGUUGUCCAUAGUAGCUUUACUUAUAUUGUUGACGAAUGUCCCUCUUUUAACCACUUUCAAAGACGCAGAUCAUUACUGUCUUUAUUACCUAGGUAUGAAAAAAUCGAACAGUAUUGUCGGCUUGAAUGUCUCGGUAUCAAGUUUUUUCAAUCAUCUAUCACCGCCACACGAGGCGAAGAAGACAGUUUGUUCUUCAAGAUGAAGUAGAUUACCCGUGAUAGAAAGUGAGCGCAAUGAGGAAAUUGUUUAGAAAACGUUGAAGCCUAGGCGAAUAAACUUCUUACAUGCCGAAGAACAUAAGUGAAGAUCGACCAAUGCCUGUUUUUCCUUUAAAGAGCAAUCGAUCAAUGUCUGUUUUUCCUUUAAUUUCAUAAGCGAUGUCGUUGAGUUGCGGUUUAUAGAAAACUGAACU
rnacentral:lncRNA from 1 species